AACUAGGCUGUGACCAGUUAAUGUGACUCAGGAAAGGCUGUAAGGUGGAUGGAGGCUUUACCACUUCGCCUCACUGCAGAGGUUACUGUUUUUCCAGACCUCACACAUGAGGAGCCUAAUCAAAGCAGGUUUAGCAAUUAGGCUGUGAGGUCACCUGAUUAACUGAGGGGCAUCAGCUGGGUUUGGGGCUGAUUGACUUUAGCAGAGCUGCAGCUAACAACCCAAAACAUUUCUUUCCCAGUGUUUGCUGCUGGGCUGGAUUUCUCUUGGACUUACCUGCACCAGCAUUUCAGCAAAGCUAUGAGUGGCAGCUCUUACUGCCUGGGAACAGACUCAUGCGACCCAGUCAGGAGGAUGACAGCUCUACACCACUGGACCUGUAAUAAGUUCUGACUGCUGGAAUAUUUGCUUCCCUGCGGAAAU
rnacentral:lncRNA from 1 species